rnacentral:rRNA from 1 species
GAUGAACGCUGGCGGCGUGCCUAAUACAUGCAAGUCGAGCGAACGGACGAGAAGCUUGCUUCUCUGAUGUUAGCGGCGGACGGGUGAGUAACACGUGGAUAACCUACCUAUAAGACUGGGAUAACUUCGGGAAACCGGAGCUAAUACCGGAUAAUAUUUUGAACCGCAUGGUUCAAAAGUGAAAGACGGUCUUGCUGUCACUUAUAGAUGGAUCCGCGCUGCAUUAGCUAGUUGGUAAGGUAACGGCUUACCAAGGCAACGAUGCAUAGCCGACCUGAGAGGGUGAUCGGCCACACGGGACCGGAGACCCGGUCCAGACCCCCACGGGAGGCAGCAGUAGGGAAUUUUCCGCAAUGGGCGAAAGCCUGACGGAGCAACGCCGGGGGAGUGAUGAAGGUCUUCGGUUCGUAAAACCUUUUUAUUAGGGAAAAACAUAUUUUUAAGUAACUGUGCACAUCUUGGCGGUACCUAACCAAAAAGCCCCGGCUAACUACGU